UUAAGUUCAGCGGGUAGUCCUACUUGAUUUGAGGCCAGAUGUCAAAGUUACACAAUGAGUAACAUCCAAAGAUGCACUUAAAGUGAUGGUUUAGUUAGCAGACAGUAGUCUAGGUCCUGGCCAUCCGAAGAUGUCCUCAGCAAAAUACUUAUUAUGCCAAGUCAAACCAGUCAUAUAGACAGAUCCAAGCUAAUACUUUU
rnacentral:misc_RNA from 1 species